ensembl:snoRNA
GUGCCUCUUUAAGGUUAACACAGUGCCUUAGGAGCUAACACAAAAGUGCAAAGUCAGUCUCCAUAAAACCGAGAAGAGGCUGUGAAGCUCCGCUCAGGAUCCUGUCUGGAGUCACAGCC